UCCUGGUUAACCCAGGCAGUCUCAUUAGAGUUCCCACCUUAACGUGCUGGCAACUAAUGAUAAGGGUUGCGCUCGUUGCGGGACUUAACCCAACACCUCACGGCACGAGCUGACGACAGCCAUGCAGCACCUAUAUAGAGACCCUUUCGGGAAACAACAUCUCUGUCGUCGUCCUCUACAUUUCGAGCCCAGGUAAGGUUCUUCGCGUUGCAUCGAAUUAAACCACAUGCUCCACUGCUUGUGCGGGCCCCCGUCAAUUCUUUUGAGUUUCACCCUUGCGAGCGUACUCCCCAGGCGGUAUACUUAAUGCGUUAGCUCCGGUACAAGGGGGGUUGAGCCCUCUUACACCUAGUAUACAUCGUUUAAGGCAUGGACUAC
rnacentral:misc_RNA from 1 species